GGAGAGAUGGCCGAGCGGCUGAAGGCGGCACCCUGCUAAGGUGUUAUAUCUGUAAAGGUAUCGAGGGUUCGAAUCCCUCUCUCUCCGCCA
rnacentral:tRNA from 1 species